GAUGGCGACCGGCGCACGGGUGAGUAACACGUAUCCAACCUGCCGUCUACUCUUGGACAGCCUUCUGAAAGGAAGAUUAAUACAAGAUGGCAUCAUGAGUCCGCAUGUUCACAUGAUUAAAGGUAUUCCGGUAGACGAUGGGGAUGCGUUCCAUUAGAUAGUAGGCGGGGUAACGGCCCACCUAGUCUUCGAUGGAUAGGGGUUCUGAGAGGAAGGUCCCCCACAUUGGAACUGAGACACGGUCCAAACUCCUACGGGAGGCAGCAGUGAGGAAUAUUGGUCAAUGGGCGCAGGCCUGAACCAGCCAAGUAGCGUGAAGGAUGACUGCCCUAUGGGUUGUAAACUUCUUUUAUAAAGGAAUAAAGUCGGGUAUGUAUACCCGUUUGCAUGUACUUUAUGAAUAAGGAUCGGCUAACUCCGUGCCAGCAGCCGCGGUAAUACGGAGGAUCCGAGCGUUAUCCGGA
rnacentral:rRNA from 1 species